CACCACCCCGAAUCAUUUAUAUCGUUGUUUUGUUGUUUUGUUUUUUCAAAGAAUUAAAAUAAAAAGACGGCGGAAUAAUGUUGUUUUGUUAAUAUAUGUAGAUAUAGGUAUAGGUGUUUAUAGCUGUUGUUAAUGUUGUUUGUUAAAAGAAAAGAUAAAUAAAUAUGGCGCAAAGUCAACUUGUUUUGCCGAGGCAGUGGAAGGCAAGGGUGAUGAUUUGGGCCGAUCUCUCCUUCAGUGCUAUGGAUCUCAUUGAAGAAGCAAAAACUGCAGACCAGCUGAGAGA